rnacentral:rRNA from 1 species
GAUGAACGCUGGCGGCGUGCCUAAUACAUGCAAGUCGAGCGAACAGAUAAGGAGCUUGCCCUUUGACGUUAGCGGCGGACGGGUGAGUAACACGUGGGUAACCUACCUAUAAGACUGGGAUAACUUCGGGAAACCGGAGCUAAUACCGGAUAACAUUUGGAACCGCAUGGUUCUAAAGUGAAAGAUGGUUUUGCUAUCACUUAUAGAUGGACCCGCGCCGUAUUAGCUAGUUGGUAAGGUAACGGCUUACCAAGGCGACGAUACGUAGCCGACCUGAGAGGGUGAUCGGCCACACUGGAACUGAGACACGGUCCAGACUCCUACGGGAGGCAGCAGUAGGGAAUCUUCCGCAAUGGGCGAAAGCCUGACGGAGCAACGCCGCGUGAGUGAUGAAGGGUUUCGGCUCGUAAAACUCUGUUAUUAGGGAAGAACAAACGUGUAAGUAACUGUGCACGUCUUGACGGUACCUAAUCAGAAAGCCACGGCUAACUACGUG